CAAAACACAACCAUACUAGAGGCAAAGAAUACAAAGUACAACAUUCAUCACAGUCACACCAACAGCUUCCUGUGUAAGUUGUGUUUUUACGCUGUUGCUGCAAGGUUUCUUGUUCUUCUUGAUCUUUUCAUUUCUUUAAUAGAUUGUUUGAAAUAAAUGAUAAUAACAUUUUAUUUACUUUACUUCUGCUUUUAGGAUUUAAGACCAAAUCUAAUCUCAAUCUAACAUAGAUUUCAACAUCUUUCACUUCUUCAUUAGAUUUUCUGAUGGUAAUGAAAUGAGUUAUAUUGGUGGUAAUGGGCAGAUGUUGAACUGCAGUUUCUGUGACUCCACCACAACUGAAGCAACAGGUCACCGUCUGCAUUGCUGUUUGGUCUCAUGAAAAACUAUUUAAGCUCAUCUCAGAUGACUCUCAGAAUGUUUGCUGCAGAUCUUCUUGUAUUUGGCUCUAUUUUAUCAGGUUGGUCAGGUUUUUCUUCCUUGUUUUUAUUUCAAAGUUUAACAAUCAUAAAGAUCAUUUCAUUCAUUUUAUGCAUUUGU
ensembl:lncRNA